GAGCCAAAAGGCGUCGAUUGGCCGCGCGCGAGACAGGUCUCGCGAUAUUUGGAGGGGACGAGGCUCCGAAGGCGGAGGCGUCCGGCGGCCAUUUUGGAAACGUGUCUUUAUCCAAGUGCCUCAAACUACGUAUCUAAAGCAGUGAGCCCACCUCAGUUAGACUGAAAAACUACUCCAGUCGGAAGGCAGAGUGAAAAUUCUGCCACGGUUUCAACACGAGCAGAGUAUCGAAUAUGCAGGCAUUUCUGCGUAUUAGCCCUCUGAGGCCUUCAGCCGAGGUGUUCCCUUCAAGAGAGGCUGAGCAAGGCAACGAGUGGGUCUUGUCAGUUGUGGCCCUAUUACAGAAUGGUUUUCCCGCUGAGGGCUGCCUGGCAGUCAUGCUCGUUGUCCUUUUGGUGCCAUUUGUCUACUGGUAAGCACACAGAGGCAUAUAAUGAGACGUGGAAGCAGUUUUAACAGGUCUCGUUUUUACUGACUUGUUCGAAGGUGCAAUCCUAUGCUAGUUGACUAAGAAAACAGGCCUGCGGCUUCCAGUGCUUUCCACCCAGCACAGUCCGUUGCUGCUAAUGACGCAACUAGAUUGAAGCUGAAAAGAUGUGCUCAGAGAUGAAAGAUCUGAUACUCGUAACACAUACAAUUGGACCGUGAGUCAAAGCAAACGGGAAAUUGAAGCAAGAAAUGCGGCAGGUAAACUUCACAGUACUUGGUGUGAGUGAAUUAAAGUGGACUAGAAUGCAACACUUUAAGUCAAACACAAAGUGUUUUAUUCUGGAAAUGACAAACUCAGGAAAAAUGGAGUGACUCUAAUACUGAAGAAAGAUGUAGUUUAUGGCACAAUAAUGCAAAGCCCUACUGAAUCAUAUAAAAAUUCUCAGAAAACCUACCAGGGUAACCAUCAUUCAAGUCUAUUUUCCAACAAAAGAUGCUGAAGAAAUCAAAAACUUUUAUGUGAACAUCUACAAGGAAAUUGAUAACACAUCAAAACAAGAUAUGCUGAUAAUCUCAGGUGACCGAUAUGUAAAGGCAGGGGACAAAAUUCCAAGUUGUGAGAGAAUCUGGCCUAGGGGUCAGAAAUGAAGCAGGAGGACUGCUAGAAUUCUUGAAUCCAACCAUCUGUUUAUUGCAAAUACAUACUUCAGGCGACCAGUUGGAUGGCUGUCCAGAUGGGGAGCGCCAGAACCAGCUUUAUGUACUUCCAAGUAUAGCAGAAAAAUGUAACACCGUUAGCAUCUUUUUGCUUUCCCUGCUGGCCCAAGCAACAUGACAGAUGACCUCCCCUGUGGAUGGAUUGACAGUCGGGAAUGUUUUCUUGCUGACCGCAUCGUGCCAUUCAUUGUUGAUGAAAAUCUGCAAUUCAGAAGGCACCUUAUUAGUACGUGGGACCCCUUGGAUUGGGCGUUUCAGAGAAGAGAGAGAUGGGGACUCCUAAAACCAUCAUCCACAGUGGGAGUGAGUUUCUCAGUCCACCGAUACCUGAAGUCUCCAUGCACGACAGAGAGGCGUUCGCUGGCUGGCAGGUGGGAAGGCAGCCAUUCCAGCAGCCUCUCCAUGGCCGGGAUCGUGUGGGUCUCCGUCGCCCGGUACUGUUUGCUCCAGGUCUGGACUUGCCGCUGAAUGUAGUUGCCUGUAACACGCACACCUUCAUUCAGUCAUCGCACAGAGCCGUUUCGCCCACUCUUCGGCCAAAAUGGGUCUGACGAGAUCAUUAAUACGGUCAUCGCAGCCCGAAGACGCAACACAGAAGAGACGGGCGGGCAAAGGACCACAGCAGCGGACUCAGGUUCUAGGUCCUUGCAGACAAGGACUGGAGCUGGAGCUGGGCCUCGGCACGGUGGAUGCGCCGGUGCUGCCUCUCCCUCCAAUGGCUGGGCAGUCGUGGCAGGAGGACAAGGGGAUGGGUGGCCGCUCUGUCCGCAGGGGCGGGGUUGCCACGGAGCGGGUGCUGGGACAACCAGUGCAGAGGGCACGGCAGCGCGGCCCCUAUCUGACCGGGUCAAGGUGCCCGAGUGCGGGAACGCAGCCUCACUCGGUGAGCAGGUGGCGAGGCUGCCCCUGGACCGGACCAACUCAGACUGCCGGUGGGGCAGGGGAAGGAAGGCCCAUGGCCGGAUAUUCCCCUGCAGAAUACCCCGUCCUGUGCUGGCGCGGAGGAGCCAUUCUAGCCUCCCUCCACCCAAGACGGCUUUGUCUGUUCCCAACCAGGACCCUGCAGAUUUGUUAGGCAACAUCCUGACCCAGCUAGCUGCAGUGAUGGGAGUUGUAGUCUGACACAUCUGGCAGGGCCAGGCUGGAGAAGGGCGCUGAUGGGCAUCCAUCAGGGCUGGCCACAUGUAGGCCAAAGCCUCUGGAGAGCCACAACUCCCAUCAGCCCUAGUCAAUACAGCCAAUGGUGCACGGCACAUGCGUGCAGCCACACACAGGUGGAUGACUCGAAUUCUCCACUUCGCAGCCGGAAGAGGUAAAGUCAAGGGCAGCCCUGCUGAAGUACAAGCAAGCCUCAGCUUCAGCAUCAAACUCUAAGGCUGAGGUAGCGGCUCCUGUGAGAUUUAUGGCCAAAUUCAGCAUUUGCUUCAACCAGAAGACAAAGCUUUCAACGACUGGCAUUACAAACCACACGGGAAAAGAGGCGCUCUGUGAACCAAGUGCCGUUGCUCCGACAGUUGACAUACCGUGCUUCCCAUAAUCCUCCAGGCCUGCUGCUUUAAUGUCUACACUGUGGAUCUGGCAGAGGACUCUGUUCAUGGCGCUGUA